GCGGUGUGCUAGGUAGCUGACCAUUAAAGGAGGAAGUCCGCCCACCCAUUCGUUAAGCCAGGGCAACCUGGUGGCCUAACGGCCAGGCUACGGAACAGAAACGAAGCAACUUAUAUACGCAAAUAGAUGAUCGUAAGGUGAUAGUAUAUAAGUUGCAUGAAACGUGCCGACCCUUAGGGUGCAAGCUCUUUUAGAGCGCUUAGUGGAAUGCUACCGUGCCUAAAUAGGCAACAGAAGGCGGGCUAUUGCACGCCGC
rnacentral:RNase_P_RNA from 1 species